UACUAGUAUAAUAGGUAGUAGGUAUAGUAGUGGAGCUAGUAGUGGUACUAGUACAAUAACAAGGUUUGAAGACCAUCAAAGUACAGUAGUGGAGCUAGUAGUGGUACUAGUACAAUAACAAGGUGUGAAGACCAUCAUAGUAGUGGAGCUAGUAGUGGUACAAGUACAAUAACAAGGUUUGAAGACCAUCAAAGUACAGUAGUGGAGCUAGUAGUGGUACUAGUACAAUAACAAGGUGUGAAGACCAUCAUAGUAGUGGAGCUAGUAGUGGUACAAGUACAAUAACAAGGUUUGAAGACCAUCAAAGUACAGUAGUGGAGCUAGUAGUGGUACUAGUACAAUAACAAGGUGUGAAGACCAUCAUAGUAGUGGAGCUAGUAGUGGUAUUAGUACAAUAACAAGGUGUGGAGACCAUCAUAGUAUAGUAGUGGUACUACUAGUGGACCUAGUAAAAUAACAAGGUGUGGAGACCAUCAUAGUAUAGUAGUGGUACUAGUACAAUAACAAGGUGUAGAGACCAUCAUAGUAUAGUAGUGGAACUAGUACAAUAAGGUGUGAAGACCAUCAUAGUAUAGUAGUGGUACUACUAGUGGACCUAGUAAAAUAACAAGGUGUGGAGACCAUCAUAGUAUAGUAGUGGUACUAGUACAAUAACAAGGUGUAGAGACCAUCAUAGUAUAGUAGUGGUACUAGUACAAUAACAAGGUGUGGAGACCAUCAUAGUAUCGUAGUGGUACUACUAGUGGACCUAGUAAAAUAACAAGGUGUGGAGACCAUCAUAGUAUAGUAGUGGUACUAGUACAAUAACAAGGUGUGGAGACCAUCAUAGUAUAGUAGUGGUAUGAGUACAAUAACAAGGUGUGGAGACCAUAAUAGUCUAGUAGUGGUACUAGUACA